rnacentral:rRNA from 1 species
CCUACGGGGUGCAGCGGUGAGGAAUAUUGGUCAAUGGACGAGAGUCUGAACCAGCCAAGUAGCGUGAAGGAUGACUGCCCUAUGGGUUGUAAACUUCUUUUAUAUGGGAAUAAAAUGUUCCACGUGUGGGAUUUUGUAUGUACCAUAUGAAUAAGGAUCGGCUAACUCCGUGCCAGCAGCCGCGGUAAUACGGAGGAUCCGAGCGUUAUCCGGAUUUAUUGGGUUUAAAGGGAGCGUAGGUGGAUUGUUAAGUCAGUUGUGAAAGUUUGCGGCUCAACCGUAAAAUUGCAGUUGAAACUGGCAGUCUUGAGUACAGUAGAGGUGGGCGGAAUUCGUGGUGUAGCGGUGAAAUGCUUAGAUAUCACGAAGAACUCCGAUUGCGAAGGCAGUUCACUGGACUGCAACUGACACUGAGGCUCGAAAGUGUGGGUAUCAAACAGGAUUAGAUACCCGGGUAGUC